UCAGAUAUUGGAAUACCAGAUUGGGAAGUCUUGUAUUGGAUAAUGUGAGAUUAUUAUAUGACAAAUCUAACACUUCAAGACUCACCUUGAGGUACAGGUAGACAUCUGUCCCGUAGCCUUCCAUUGAGCUGACCACUAGAUCCCCCUGGAAGUACCGGGCAUAUAGACGGGACAAAGGAAGUCCAUACCCAUACCCAGCCUACAACAAAGCACAGAGAAUCUAUCAAGGAACAUCCGACUAUUGAUGAAGUGGACCUUAGUGGGACCUAACAAACCAACAAGGUUACAUAACUCAGACACAAGGACAGAAACCAAGAUCUAACAGACAGACAGAGUGCUCUACCCCUUCCUCUAAAGACGUACCCUGACUGUGGACCAAACAUUUUGUGGGUGUGCAUUGUGUGUACUAGCUAUAGCAACUGUUACACACGACAUUGUUGGACACAUGGACUCUAUCAAUGACAUAACUUGCUUGGUCAUGCUUACCAAUUAAUGACAAUGCAUUAGCAGCUGCUCUCACUCAAAAUGCAGCAACAUUCAGACCACAUGCAUUCUAUUAAAAUUCUAUACAC
rnacentral:sRNA from 1 species